AGUGAACGCUGGCGGCGUGCUUAACACAUGCAAGUCGAACGAGAACGGGUUAUAGCUUGCUAUAAUUGUCAGCUAAGUGGCGCACGGGUGAGUAAUGUAUAGGUAAUAUGCCUCUUACUAAGGGAUAACAAAUGGAAACGUUUGCUAAUACCUUAUACUCCUUAUUAACAUAAGUUAAUAAGGAAAAGAUUUAUUGGUAAGAGAUUAGCCUGUAUUGUAUCAGUUAGUUGGUGGGGUAAUGGCUUACCAAGACUAUGACACAUAACUGGUUUGGGAGGAUGAUCAGUCACACUAGAACUGAGACACGGUCCAGACUUCUACGGGAGGCAGCAGUGGGGAAUAUUGCACAAUGGACGAAAGUCUGAUGCAGCAACGCCGCGUGGAGGAUGACACAUUUCGGUGCGUAAACUCCUUUUAUAUGAGAAGAUAAUGACGGUAUUAUAUGAAUAAGCACCGGCUAACUCCGUGCCAGCCGCCGCCGUAA
rnacentral:rRNA from 1 species